GGUACAAAUCAAUCUACAUACAAUUUGUAUUCAUGGUUGAUUAUAUCUUUAAUUAUCUCCAUCUAUACUAACAUAUUCUACUGGUUUCUUGGUACAAAUCUAUAUCUAUAUCAAUCCGCACUCCUCUCCUCUGGAACUUUUUAUUAACGUCUCUUUUGAUUCUUUUUAUUGCCAACCAAAGGAAUGUUGUUUUAUGUUUCUUUAAGUGUACCUGAUGCAUUAAAAUAUUUAAUACCUGAAAAGUAUAAGUGCAUACAUAUAUUACUUGCUAUUUUCUUGAAAAAUUGAGAAGUUUUACAUCAAUUUUCCUUGAUUGUAGGCAAGAUGUUGCUGGUAAUGCCACCAUCCAGUCAUUUUACCAUGAUGUUGUCCAUCUUCAAGUUUGUCAUUUUAUCAAAUAGGAUGAGAUAAGUUCUCGCGUUAAUGUCGGUAAUUAUAAGUUAUUCCAUAGGUAUAUGAAUGCCCAUCACACAAUUUGAAAUUUUGUGCUAAUUAGGUGGUAUUAUGUUAAAUUAUUCUGCAUGUAUGAUGAUCGAUGGGUUUGGAGCCGCAGUUAGGUUAAUUGGGUUUGAGUUUAAUGUUGGCCAUCAUUAGCUGUCGUCUCAUCAGAGUGGGCGGUUGAAGAAAAUUUGGUCAGGUUGCGUGCAAAUUGAGAAGAGGGAAAGCAGGUUGAGUUGUUGACGCAGUUAUGUUGGAUGCUUUUGAUUGAAUGGAAGAUUCACUAAGCACGUUUUUGUGGAUUUCUUUGUGCAUGUGCUUAUGGUACUAAUGACCGUGCUUUCUUAUAUCGAUUCUUUUCAACAAGAGUCCAGCAUGUGCCAUUAUCUACUGCAACGAACAUGUGGAAGAAACUUCCAUAUGAUGCAACUGAUUUUGUAAUGAAUGACGUUCCCUUAUUGACUAAUCUUCUUUAGCACCAUGAUGCCAAAGUUUUGGAGUGUGCUUCGGUUUGUUUGACUCGAAUUGCGAAGGCGUUUGCCUCAUCAUCUGAUGAGCUAGACAAGCUUUGUAUCCAUGGAUUGGUUAAACAAGCAACCUAUCUCAUUUCAACCAGCUGUUCUGGCCUCAGUACAUCUACAUAACAUAUACUGUACAUACGUGAUUUUCUUUUCUUUUUUGGUAAGAUAGUAUUACUAUUGAGGGGCAGCAUCACUUAAAGUUAUCCAAUGCAGGGCUUAAUCUGAUUGAUAUCCUAUAUGUGCAUCUGGCUCUCCCUUAGGACCCAAAACUUUCUCUUUCUAAGGAUCAUUAGGGAUUCUCAAAGGCAUAUCAUCCGUUUGUUGCAACGAUGCAUGUGUCACCUUCCUUGAGUAGACCACCAGAGGAGGUAAUAUUGUUUCACAUGUCUUAUCUUAAUUACCACGGUCUACCUUCAUCACUUACACUCACGAACGACGUGUAUUGAAUAAAUUUGUUUCAUUUGGGUGUGCAUAUUUUUGGGAUUGUGAAUUUGGCGAAUUUGGCAAACAUAUCCAAAUUUCAUGUGAAUUUAAACAUAUGCAUUAGACUAGAGAGUGCCAAGUGAACAAAAAAAAGUUUUUGUUAACAAACUUUGGGUUAAAAAUCUGAAUCAUUUUUGCAUUGGGACAUGUUAUGACAAAGUUACAAGUCAAAGUGAACGAAAGGUGUUGAUCAGUUACCCUUGCGGCAUGGUUGAAGAAAUCUUCAGGUCUUCGUGCACACGGUUCUCGCA